rnacentral:rRNA from 1 species
GAUGAACGCUAGCGGCAGGCUUAACACAUGCAAGUCGAGCGGCAUCGCCGCGGUGGCGACCCCGCUGGCGGCGACCGGCGCCCUGGUUAGUAACACGUAUGCGACCUGCCCCCUACAGGUGAAUAACCCGCGGAAACGCGGCCUAAUGCCCCAUAUUCCCGUCAUGCCCAUGCCUUACGUGUGAAAGGUCCGCCGGUAGGGUAUGGGCAUGCGGGGCAUUAGCUGGUUGGCGGGGCAACGGCCCACCAAGGCUACGAUGCGUAGGGGCUCUGAGAGGAGUGUCCCUGACACUGGCACUGGGACACGGGCAAGACUACUACGGGAGGGAGCAGUGAGGAAUAUGGGGCAGUGGGCGUUAGCCUGAAGCAGCGAAGUCGAGUGAGGGAAGGAGGUGCUCAGGAUAGUGAACCUCUUUAGGCGGGGAGCAACGCGGUCCACGCGUGGGCUGGUGAGGGUACCCGGAGAAGAAGCACCGGCUAACUUCGUG